GAGAGGAGCUUGCUCUUCUUGGAUGAGUUGCGAACGGGUGAGUAACGCGUAGGUAACCUGCCUUGUAGCGGGGGAUAACUAUUGGAAACGAUAGCUAAUACCGCAUAACAAUGGAUGACACAUGUCAUUUAUUUGAAAGGGGCAAUUGCUCCACUACAAGAUGGACCUGCGUUGUAUUAGCUAGUAGGUGAGGUAACGGCUCACCUAGGCGACGAUACAUAGCCGACCUGAGAGGGUGAUCGGCCACACUGGGACUGAGACACGGCCCAGACUCCUACGGGAGGCAGCAGUAGGGAAUCUUCGGCAAUGGGGGCAACCCUGACCGAGCAACGCCGCGUGAGUGAAGAAGGUUUUCGGAUCGUAAAGCUCUGUUGUAAGUCAAGAACGAGUGUGAGAGUGGAAAGUUCACACUGUGACGGUAGCUUACCAGAAAGGGACGGCUAACUACGUGCCAGCAGCCGCGGUAAUACGUAGGUCCCGAGCGUUGUCCGGAUUUAUUGGGCGUAAAGCGAGCGCAGGCGGUUUGAUAAGUCUGAAGUUAAAGGCUGUGGCUCAACCAUAGUUCGCUUUGGAAACUGUCAAACUUGAGUGCAGAAGGGGAGAGUGGAAUUCCAUGUGUAGCGGUGAAAUGCGUAGAUAUAUGGAGGAACACCGGUGGCGAAAGCGGCUCUCUGGUCUGUAACUGACGCUGAGGCUCGAAAGCGUGGGGAGCGAACAGGAUUAGAUACCCUGGUAGUCCACGCCGUAAACGAUGAGUGCUAGGUGUUGGAUCCUUUCCGGGAUUCAGUGCCGCAGCUAACGCAUUAAGCACUCCGCCUGGGGAGUACGACCGCAAGGUUGAAACUCAAAGGAAUUGACGGGGGCCCGCACAAGCGGUGGAGCAUGUGGUUUAAUUCGAAGCAACGCGAAGAACCUUACCAGGUCUUGACAUCCCGAUGCUAUUUCUAGAGAUAGAAAGUUACUUCGGUACAUCGGUGACAGGUGGUGCAUGGUUGUCGUCAGCUCGUGUCGUGAGAUGUUGGGUUAAGUCCCGCAACGAGCGCAACCCCUAUUGUUAGUUGCCAUCAUUCAGUUGGGCACUCUAGCGAGACUGCCGGUAAUAAACCGGAGGAAGGUGGGGAUGACGUCAAAUCAUCAUGCCCCUUAUGACCUGGGCUACACACGUGCUACAAUGGUUGGUACAACGAGUUGCGAGUCGGUGACGGCAAGCUAAUCUCUUAAAGCCAAUCUCAGUUCGGAUUGUAGGCUGCAACUCGCCUACAUGAAGUCGGAAUCGCUAGUAAUCGCGGAUCAGCACGCCGCGGUGAAUACGUUCCCGGGCCUUGUACACACCGCCCGUCACACCACGAGAGUUUGUAACACCCGAAGUCGGUGAGGUAAC
rnacentral:rRNA from 1 species